UUACAAAUUCUAACAAUGAAUGAAAUCAUUUGCACUUCGGUCGUUUCGCAUAUCAAGUCGUCGUCGUGUGUUUAGGUAAUCACGUGAUCGGUGUAUAAAACAUUGAAAGAACUUUUGAAGGAAAGUGAAAUUUGCAGUUUGGAGCCCGAAUUAGUUAUCGAAAUACCGAUGUGACCAAUUAAAGGGGCCUGCCAAUACCCGUACACCCUUGGCCAUCAAACCUCAAUUUUGGUCCGGUUUGACUGCAAAUUGUCUUGGAUUGUUUUGUUAUGACUUCCAAAAUCCAUGUAAUUGUGUUCAUGUGUGCGGGGUGUGCCUUGCUGCCAACCUCUUGGAAGGCUAAUGAAUAAGGAAGACUCUACUACCACUACCAACACCAUCAAUCCAACUCAACAGAGGAAAAACAGUGGUGAACAUUGACCAGUCAAGUUCCCAAAAUGUUGACGAAAAUCUUCGAAAUCUUCCUAAAUUGGGAC
rnacentral:sRNA from 14 species